CCUACGGGCGGCUGCAGUGGGGAAUAUUGCACAAUGGGCGCAAGCCUGAUGCAGCCAUGCCGCGUGUGUGAAGAAGGCCUUCGGGUUGUAAAGCACUUUCAGCGGGGAGGAAGGCGGUGAGGUUAAUAACCUCAUCGAUUGACGUUACCCGCAGAAGAAGCACCGGCUAACUCCGUGCCAGCAGCCGCGGUAAUACGGAGGGUGCAAGCGUUAAUCGGAAUUACUGGGCGUAAAGCGCACGCAGGCGGUCUGUCAAGUCGGAUGUGAAAUCCCCGGGCUCAACCUGGGAACUGCAUUCGAAUCUGGCAGGCUAGAGUCUUGUAGAGGGGGGUAGAAUUCCAGGUGUAGCGGUGAAAUGCGUAGAGAUCUGGAGGAAUACCGGCGGCGAAGGCGGCCCCCUGGACAAAGACUGACGCUCAGGUGCGAAAGCGUGGGGAGCAAACAGGAUUAGAUACCCGAGUAGUC
rnacentral:rRNA from 1 species